UACAGAGGGUGCAAGCGUUGCUCGGAAUUAUUGGGCGUAAAGCGCACGUAGGCGGUUCGUUAAGUCAGAUGUGAAAGCCCCGGGCUCAACUCGGGAAGUGCAUUUGAAACUGGCGGGCUUGAAUAUGGAAGAGGGUCGCGGAAUUCCCGGUGUAGAGGUGAAAUUCGUAGAUAUCGGGAGGAACACCAGUGGCGAAGGCGGCGACCUGGGCCAAUAUUGACGCUGAGGUGCGAAAGCGUGGGGAGCAAACAGG
rnacentral:rRNA from 1 species